CUUCACUUCCAACAAUGUUUGUAACCUGUUACGUCUUCUCCUCACAAGAAUAAACACACAGAGCAGGUCAAGGUCUUGUCUCUUUGCCAAAAUGUUCUUCUUUUACUUCAUUCAUCGUUUAAUGAGUACAGUGAGAGACAAAUAAAUA